GGAGUUAGCCGGUGCUUCUUCUGUGAGUGAUGUCCUUCCUGCCGGUUAUUGACCCGCAGGCCUUCUUCCUCACUGAAAGUGCUUUACAACCCGAAGGCCUUCUUCACACACGCGGCAUGGCUGGAUCAGGGUUGCCCCCAUUGUCCAAUAUUCCCCACUGCUGCCUCCCGUAGGAGUCUGGGCCGUGUCUCAGUCCCAGUGUGGCUGAUCAUCCUCUCAGACCAGCUACGGAUCGUCGCCUUGGUGAGCCGUUACCUCACCAACCAGCUAAUCCGACAUAGGCUCAUCCGAUAGCGCGAGGCCCGAAGGUCCCCCGCUUUCCCCCGUACGGGCGUAUGCGGUAUUAGCCUGGGUUUCCCCAGGUUAUCCCCCACUACCGGGCAGAUUCCUAUGCAUUACUCACCCGUCCGCCGCUCGCCACCAGGGAGCAAGCUCCCCGUCGCUGCCGCUCGACUUGCAUGUGUUAGGCCUGCCGCCAGCGUUCAAUACUGAGCCACNGAUCAAACUACUGA
rnacentral:rRNA from 1 species